CAGAUUCAGUGAUCAUCGAAUCUUUGAACGCACAUUGCGCCCUUUGGUAUUCCUUAGGGCAUGCCUGUUCGAGCGUCAUUUACACCCUCAAGCGCGGCUUGGGGUUGGGCGCCUGUCCCCGUCCACCCCCCGCGGGUGCGCGGACUCGCCUCGAAACGAUUGGCAGCGGACCCGUCGGCCCCCCAGCGCAGCAGAAUUGCGUCCCUGGGCGGCCCGGCGGGGGGCUCUCCACGAAGCUCCUCACCCAAGUUUGACCUCGGAUCAGGUAGGGAUACCCGCUGAACUUAAGCAUAUCCAUAAGCGGAGGAAAAGAAACCAACAGGGAUUGCCCCAGUAACGGCGAGUGAAACGGCAACAGCUCAAAUUUGAAAUCUGGCCCUCCCGGGGGUCCCAAUUGUACUUUGCAAAGGUGCUUUGGCGUUGGCUCCGGUCUAAGUUCCUUGGAACAGGACGUCACAGAGGGUGAGAAUCCCGUACGUGGGCGGCAGCCCUCGCCGUGUAAAGCCCCUUCGACGAGUCGAGUUGUUUGGGAAUGGAGCUCUAAAUGAGAGGUAAAUUCC
rnacentral:rRNA from 1 species